rnacentral:tRNA from 1 species
UCUAAUAUGGCAGAUAAAUGCAUUAAGAUUAAGAUUUAAGAAUAAAUAAAUAUAUUUUGUUAGAA